UGUCUUUCAGCGCUCACUUAUAAAAAGUUCAUUGCAGGACAUUGUCGCUUGAAUAUCAUCAAUGAUCACUGCAUGACAAAGUCAUGCAGAUGCCAUCAACGACUAAAUUACCAUUUGUUAAAAAGUCAUGAACGACUUCCAUAUAAACGGAUCCCAAAGUCAUUGAAGACUUGAUAUGGCCGUACAAGACACUUAAGUGACUAAUUCAUGACAUUCGCUACGGGGAUACUACGACAAUAGAAUUACAU